GAGAGGUGAGCGCUUCCCCCUCAGCUGCACACAGGGAGAGCCAAAGGGACUCAGUCCAGGCCAUGCCUGACCAGGAAGGGUGGGACAGGGAUGCAAAGAGAGAAAAGCAGCUCAGCAGGAUGUGCACAAGGCAGAGGCUGGAGCCACAGCAUCCUCGGGGAUGAUGGACAUGAAAAGAGUGUCAGGAAAAUGCAGAGUCAGAGGAAGGAUGAGCUCCUUGCCUGGGUCCCACAGAGCCAGAACCUCCUCUUGUUCACUUCAGGCCAAGAAAAUACCCAGAAGGGAGGAAAUCCAUCUAUUCCUUGGACUUGUUUAUGCUGUGAAAGCUCUGUGUUGCCACGAUGCAAAGGAAUGGUUAGAGAGAAUCAAAUGGGUGAUGCUGAGCUGCAACCUGCCUUAAAAUGCUCCACCUGCAUAAGCAGAAUAAAACCAGGAACAAGGGAAAAGAGCUCCAUAGCUUUUCUGAAGCCAAAGUGUGGUGUGAUCACUCUUCACCAAGACACCGGGAUUAGGAAGGCAUUAAUGGGAAUGACAACUUGAUGGGUUUUAGCAAAGCAUCAUGACACUGUGACAGCACCUUUCCAAAAAACACCAUAUUAGGGUGUGUGCACAUGGAAAUCCACGUACAGACACACCCACAGGCACAGCAGGGAAGCCUGCAAGGACUCUGGGUGUCAUUGGAACAGCACGAACAUGGCACUGAGCUGUCCCAGAGAGGGGGACAGAAAUGCACCCGUGUGAUUUCAUCAUCUCAGAGGAGUUUGCAAUAGGGCUUAGACAUGCCAAGACCCCCCUGAAUCAGGGGAGAAAGGCAGGAUGGCUCCCAGCACACAUCCACCCCUGUGGGAACUAGGUUCUGGAGCAAGGGAAAGGAUCAAUCACAUGGAGCUUCUUUUAUUGGAGAAACUGCACAGAACAGACUGGGGCUGGAUGCAGCUCCUGCACACUGCAUGUAGAAAUAUUCAAUAAUAAUUAUUGUGAUAAUAAUAAUAAUGACAAUGAUAAUACAGUAGGGAAAGGCUCAACUUGAGCAAAUUAUUGCAGCUUUGGUGUAGCCAUGGUGGGGGCGGGUCCAUGCAAGGUCGGGUGCUGUGGUGGCCAGG